UUUCAGUGACACAUAAUUAAUCUGAUCAGUCAUCUUGCCCUGCUUAACAGUGCGAUUUACAUUUUUAUCGAAAAAAUAUGCCACCAGAUGUGAUAUAGGUCAAAGAGACCAAAGUCUUGCAGUCUGAAUUGUAAAACAAAACCUUUGAGGUUCACUCUCCUGCAGUGCAAUUGCCCAAAGAUCUGGCGCGCGCUUUGUAGCUUUGUAAAUCCACGCAAAUAUUGGCACUCGUUCCUGCCACAGACGUUCGUGCAUGGCGCUCGUUCUCGUGUUGCCAACGUUCUUCCGGGCUGGUUGCUGUGGAGGCGAUUAGAGUUAUAAUGGGAAGUAGAUGUGUAUGACUGAGGAUCUCUGUGCGUAAGGCUUAUUUCGUUCUGCUUCAAACCCCAAAAGGCGUUUAUAGAACAGAAGCCUACAAUCUGCUGUUCUUUUCUCACGCUCUGAUGCUGAAAUCCCAAGUUCAAAGAUUCUGCAAACACCAAAUUAUUCCAGGAGAUACAGAAAAAUAGAAUAGCUUGUCAGAGGAGGUGAGACAGGCUCUGCAGACAAUGUGGUGCAGCCAUGAUGCAGGCACUGGUAAGGUGGGAGUCACCACCCUCUUCACUGGCCACUCUGCCCACUGUUGAGUCCCCUGCAGUCCUCGGGCAUAUUCCUCUGCAGGGUGAUGAUGUGAUGAUGUUCACUUUAUGGAAGGUGACUUGGAGGGCUCAAUGGUGGUCUUCAUUGCCAGAAAGGUAGUAAAGGCUCUACAUUUGAGACUGAUGUGGAGGACCCCUCCUGGGUCUCCUGAUAGGAAGUGGCUGAUGAGGACCAAGGACCAGAAGUGGGGACUCCACAUUGGUUGCUUGGAGCAUCUCCUUGUGUAAUAUUUAUUUAUUUACCAUUUGGUAACCAUGUAGGCAGUCUUGUCCAGAGACCCUUUUCAGCUGUGAGUCAUGUAGCUAAUGGAGAUGUACAGAGAGUUAACUUUCCUUUUGUUGGGUUCACCUUUGGGAUGGUCUGAAAGGCCUUUCUCACCCCUGCACCUCUCUAUCUGCUAUCAUUGUGUUCACCAUCCUUUUGUGCCACUCUGCAUCCCAUUUUUGUAAUACAGUCCUCCAUAUCACUAGUUGCCUGACCUCUGUCAGUCUUUUUCUAUCGAUUGUCGCAUUCCUUAUGUGUUACAACCUUCCCUAUCAGUCUCUGUGUUAUCUGUUUGUGUAAAUGCCUCUGCUGCCUUCUUCUUAACCUCCAAACUAUUUGCACUUUCCUAUUACUGCAUUCUUCCUCUAAUUUUCUCAAAAAUUAUUUAUUUAUUUAACAUUUGUUAACUGGGAAAGUCCAACUUGGAACGAAGCAAAUUUUCAGUGGA